rnacentral:rRNA from 1 species
CCUACGGGAGGCAGCAGUCGAGAAUCAUUCACAAUGGGGGAAACCCUGAUGGUGCGACGCCGCGUGGGGGAAUGAAGUUCUUCGGAUUGUAAACCCCUGUCAUGUGGGAGCAAAUUAAAAAGAUAGUACCACAAGAGGAAGAGACGGCUAACUCUGUGCCAGCAGCCGCGGUAAUACAGAGGUCUCAAGCGUUGUUCGGAAUCACUGGGCGUAAAGCGUGCGUAGGCUGUUUCGUAAGUCGUGUGUGAAAGGCGCGGGCUCAACCCGCGGACGGCACAUGAUACUGCGAGACUAGAGUAAGGGAGGGGGAACCGGAAUUCUCGGUGUAGCAGUGAAAUGCGUAGAUAUCGAGAGGAACACUCGUGGCGAAGGCGGGUUCCUGGACAUUAACUGACGCUGAGGCACGAAGGCCAGGGGAGCGAAAGGGAUUAGAUACCCCUGUAGUC